rnacentral:rRNA from 1 species
GAGUUUGAUCAUGGAGUUUGAUCGUGGCUCAGGACGAACGCUGGCGGCGUGCCUAACACAUGCAAGUCGAACGGGACUUGCCCCUUCGGGGACAAGUUUAGUGGCGGACGGGUGAGUAACGCGUGAGCAACCUGCCUUUCAGUGGGGGACAACAGUUGGAAACGACUGCUAAUACCGCAUAAUACUUAUUAGGGGCAUCUCUGAUAAGUCAAAGAUUUAUUGCUGAAAGAUGGGCUCGCGUCUGAUUAGCUAGUUGGUGGGUAAUGGCCCACCAAGGCGACGAUCAGUAGCCGGACUGAGAGGUUGAACGGCCACAUU